rnacentral:rRNA from 1 species
UACGUAGGGGGCUAGCGUUGUCCGGAAUCAUUGGGCGUAAAGCGCGUGUAGGCGGUUCGGUAAGUCCGCUGUGAAAGUCGGGGGCUCAACCCUCGAAUGCCGGUGGAUACUGUCGGGCUAGAGUGCGGAAGAGGCGAGUGGAAUUCCUGGUGUAGCGGUGGAAUGCGCAGAUAUCAGGAGGAACACCAAUAGCGAAGGCAGCUCGCUGGGACGGUAUUGACGCUAAGGCGCGAAAGCGUGGGGAGCAAACAGG